AUGAACGGUUGUAGGCAUAGAGACAAACUGUCGCAGGUAUCAUUUUGUGCUUCGGGUGGAGAUUAUACCCUACUACGCCCCUUGCAUCCUAAGGCUCUCAAGAAAGUUCCGGUGCUUGUUGUCCAGAUUGCUUGUGAGAUAGUCGAGGAAGUCAUUAAAACUGCUCGCGGUGUACUUUUCAGGAUUCUGCUCAUUCACGAGCUCUCUGGCGCUGGAGACCUUCUCAUGCAUUGCGAAACCAUUAAUGCUAGCCAUGGAGAUCCUUGCCUCUUCAGGAUUCAGAACAGCUCGGUGCACAACAGUCUUGAUUUUGCCAUUGCUCAGGACUUCCAUGUGGUCUCCUACGUGGACAUGCAAUGCAUGUGGGAGUGGCUGGACCACUUUCCAGCUGUUGCUGUUGCGGUCGACGACCUCCAGGCCUCGACAACUUGUGAACAAGAUGAUUGGGGGUUUUUCCGGCCAAUAUUGUACCCAUUCACUCAGGGGAUGGGCAUAAUGCUUUAG
rnacentral:rRNA from 1 species